rnacentral:rRNA from 1 species
GUGGGGAAUAUUGGACAAUGGGCGCAAGCCUGAUCCAGCCAUGCCGCGUGAGUGAUGAAGGCCUUAGGGUUGUAAAGCUCUUUCAGUGGGGACGAUAAUGACGGUACCCACAGAAGAAGCCCCGGCUAACUUCGUGCCAGCAGCCGCAGUAAUACGAAGGGGGCUAGCGUUGUUCGGAUUUACUGGGCGUAAAGCGCACGUAGGCGGAUCGUUAAGUCGGGGGUGAAAUCCUGGAGCUCAACUCCAGAACUGCCUUCGAUACUGGCGAUCUUGAGUCCGGAAGAGGUGAGUGGAACUCCUAGUGUAGAGGUGGAAUUCGUAGAUAUUAGGAGGAACACCAGUGGCGAAGGCGGCUCACUGGCUCGAUACUGACGCUGAGGUGCGAAAGCGUGGGGAGCAAACAGGAUUAGAUACCCGAGUAGUCC